GCGUGAGUGAUGAAGGCCUUAGGGUUGUAAAGCUCUUUCGCCCGCGACGAUGAUGACGGUAGCGGGAGAAGAAGCCCCGGCUAACUUCGUGCCAGCAGCCGCGGUAAUACGAAGGGGGCGAGCGUUGUUCGGAUUUACUGGGCGUAAAGGGCGCGUAGGCGGCUCUUCUAGUCGCGUGUGAAAGCCCCGGGCUCAACCUGGGAAUGGCGCGCGAUACGGGGGGGCUGGAGUUCGGGAGAGGAGAGCGGAAUUCCCAGUGUAGAGGUGAAAUUCGU
rnacentral:rRNA from 1 species